rnacentral:lncRNA from 1 species
GACUGUUUUGCUUGUGAGUUGAUGUAGGAGAUGGUGCAGUCCUGUUGUGUCAGAACCUGGCUGGGAGACCUCACAUCCCCACAUCGGCACCCAUGUUCUCACAGGUUAGUGUCUAAGGUGGGAUGCUGUGUCUUUAGAAAUGGCCAUAAGUUAGUGUCUGUCUAAUGUGGGACGCUGUGUCUUUAGAAAUGGCCAUAAGUUAGUGUCUGUCUAAUGUGGGACGCUGUGUCUUUAGAAAUGGCCAUAGGUUAGCGUCUGUCUAAGAUGGGAUGCUGUGUCUUUAGAAAUGGCCAUAGGUUAGCGUCUGUCUAAGAUGGGAUGCUGUGUCUUUAGAAAUGGCCAUAGGUUAGCGUCUGUCUAAGAUGGGAUGCUGUGUCUUUAGAAAUGGCCAUAGGUUAGCAUCUGUCUAAGAUGGGAUGCUGUGUCUUUAGAAAUGGCCAUAGGUUACUCUCUGUCUAAGAUGGGAUGCUGUGUCUUUAGAAAUGGCCAUAGGUUACUCUCUGUCUAAGAUGGGAUGCUGUGUCUUUAGAAAUGGCCAUAGGUUACUCUCUGUCUAAGAUGGGAUGCUGUGUCUUUAGAAAUGGCCAUAGGUUAGCGUCUGUCUCAGAUGGGAUGCUGUGUCUUUAGAAAUGUCUUCUUGUGCAGUGCACACCCUGAGAACCCAUACUUGGUGGCUCUGCUUGCUCUGACUCGAUAUUUAGAAAUCAGUCUAAGUUGUACCUCCUCUAGGUAACCUGACAUCCAUUCACCCAGACACACAUCUCCUCUGUGCUCCCUUAGUACCUGGGACCUGCCUUUAGCUUAGUUGCCUAUUGUAGACCUUAAGAACUCUGGCUCUGGAGUCAAACUGAUAGGAAGUGGAAUUGUGGUUCACUGCUGUGUAAUCCAGGUAAAGCUCUUAACCGCUCUGAGUCUCAACUUCCUCUAUCCACCUCCCCUUUUCCCCCCAGUGACAAAGCCAAUGACUACUUCUUCCUCUUCUUUACUUGGAAACUGAACUCCAAGCUCCUGAUUGGGACAUUUCUUAUUCCUCUUUGUGCUCCCAGGGCUGAAGGACUAAUUACAAUGUUAUUGACUUAACCUCCAUUGGCACUGGGCAUUGCCCUGUAAAAGGACAUCAGAGUGUGGGGUCUGACAUGGGGCACCAAACAAAGCCAUAGGCAAGAGCACAUCACAUUGUUGAAUUUGCCUGUUUGGUUC